UAAAUUCUCAAAACAACUUAGGAAAGCCUUCUUUAUUCAAUAGCUAGGAAAUGCACCUCCCUUUCCCGUCCAGUUCCUUCAUUUUUUUAUUGGAAAUUUGCACAUUUACAAAAUCUCUCUUGGUCCUUAUUUUUAUCCAGUUCCUUCAUUUUAUCACAAAGGUAACUGGGGAAGAAGGUGCUGAGGAAACCCAGAAUUCUUUUGCUGUGCAGAGAACCAACAUGGAAAAGCCCAUCCUACUCAGGAAGUACCUUGCCUCCCCUCAAAUGCUGGGAAGUAGAAAUGAGUGGAAAACUUUGAAAAGGAUUUAAGCCCUUCUGGAAUGAUCAGGACCUACUCUCCAGGGAAUCAGAGAGAUUUCCUGUUCUCUGGAUCUUCAUUGAGACUGCAAAUCUGCAAAAUUUGUAUCAACAUCCUAUACUAUAUGAAGAGCUCAGAUUAAUGCAUGCAAAAAUGAUCAUAUGUGUGGCAAAGGCAUUCUUCCAGAAUCUGAAGACUGGAAGAGCUUCUGGAAAUCUUACAAAGAUGGGAAAAUGGGAGUUCACAGCUUCCUGAGGAACAAUGGGCCCGGUAAACAUCCUGCAUACUGCAUAGAUGUGCAGAGGGGCUUGUGCUCAGGGUAAGGGUAACCUGGAAAUGAAA